GGGGAUGUGGCUCAGUGGUAGAGAGCUUGCCUCGCAUGCAUGGGGCACUGGGUUCGAUCCUCAGCACCACA
rnacentral:tRNA from 1 species